rnacentral:rRNA from 1 species
UACGUAGGUGGCAAGCGUUGUCCGGAUUUACUGGGCGUAAAGAGCGCGCAGGCGGCUGGUCAAGUCCGAUGUGAAAGCUCCCGGCUUAACUGGGAAACGGCAUCGGAAACUGAUCGGCUUGAAGGUGGGAGAGGGUAGUGGAAUUCCCGGUGUAGUGGUGAAAUGCGUAGAUAUCGGGAGGAACACCAGUGGCGAAGGCGACUACCUGGCCCACUCUUGACGCGGAGGCGCGAAAGCUAGGGGAGCAAACGGG